AAAUUGUCAUGCAGGUGAAGAGGUUGAAGUGGAAGUUUUGAGGAAAUCAUAUUAUACUUGUUGAUUGACUGUAAGUUGAGGUUUAUUGGGUUUUUUAUAAUCGACUAUUUGGUACAUCUUUUGGAAAUUCUGUUUUCGUGUUUAGAACAUGCAUGUCUCGAGAUAAAAUUUGGGAUGCUCAACCUGUUUCUGAUGUAAAUGUUUUGUAGUGGUGUUUCUCUCAGAGGUUUUUUGAGACUAAAUUGCAGCAACAAGGUGUCGGUUUCUCACAUGUUUUGUACGCUUGGAAGAAUGAAUUGAGUACUAACUUAAUUGUUAAUGAGUUGUGAAGUUGUGAUUGAUUUAUCAAGGAUGUAAUUGAAUUACACUUUAUUAAAGACAAGAACUUUUGUUUGUAUUGUUUCAUCCAUUAUAUUUAUACCUUUAAUUUGUUUGUGCAUUUGAACAAAUGAUAGAAUUUUUCUCUCCCAAAU
rnacentral:lncRNA from 1 species